AUUGAACGCUGGCGGCAUGCUUUACACAUGCAAGUCGAACGGUAACAGGCCGCAAGGUGCUGACGAGUGGCGAACGGGUGAGUAAUGCAUCGGAACGUGCCCAGUCGUGGGGGAUAACGCAGCGAAAGCUGUGCUAAUACCGCAUACGAUCUAUGGAUGAAAGCGGGGGACCGUAAGGCCUCGCGCGAUUGGAGCGGCCGAUGUCAGAUUAGGUAGUUGGUGGGGGAAAGGCCUACCAAGCCGACGAUCUGUAGCUGGUCUGAGAGGACGACCAGCCAACCUGGGACUGAGACACGGCCCAGACUCCUACGGGAGGCAGCAGUGGGGAAUUUUGGACAAUGGGCGCAAGCCUGAUCCAGCAAUGCCGCGUGCAGGAAGAAGGCCUUCGGGUUGUAAACUGCUUUUGUACGGAACGAAACGGUCUGGGUUAAUACCCUGGGCUAAUGACGGUACCGUAAGAAUAAGCACCGGCUAACUACGUGCCAGCCGCCGCGGUAACAC
rnacentral:rRNA from 1 species